GAGUUUGAUCCUGGCUCAGAACGAACGCUGGCGGCGUGCCUAACACAUGCAAGUCGUGCGAGAAAGGUUCCUUCGGGGACCGAGUAAAGCGGCGCACGGGUGAGUAACACGUAGGUAAUCUGCCCCUUAGUCUGGAACAACUGGAGGAAACUUCAGCUAAUGCCGGAUGAGACCACGGCCCCUUCGGGAGCUGCGGCCAAAGAUGGCCUCUACUUGUAAGCUAUCGCUGAGGGAUGAGCCUGCGGGCCAUUAGCUUGUUGGUGAGGUAACGGCUCACCAAGGCUGUGAUGGCUAGCUGGUCUGAGAGGAUGACCAGCCACACUGGGACUGAGACACGGCCCAGACUCCUACGGGAGGCAGCAGUGGGGAAUAUUGCGCAAUGGGCGAAAGCCUGACGCAGCGACGCCGCGUGGGUGAUGAAGGCCUCGGUCGUAA
rnacentral:rRNA from 1 species